CACCGCCACGGUAAUACGAAGGGUGCAAGCGUUACUCGGAAUUACUGGGCGUAAAGCGUGUGUAGGUGGUUGUUUAAGUCUGUCGUGAAAGCCCUGGGCUCAACCUGGGAAUUGCGAUGGAUACUGGGCGACUAGAGUGCGGUAGAGGAUAGUGGAAUUUCCGGUGUAGCAGUGAAAUGCGUAGAGAUCGGGAGGAACAUCAGUGGCGAAGGCGGCCAUCUGGGACAACACUGACGCUGAGGCACGAAAGCGUGGGGAGCAAACAGGAUUAGAGACCCCCGUAGUCCCUGUCUCUUAUACC
rnacentral:rRNA from 1 species